AAAAUCUUUACAAGUAUGUAUAUAUGGUUAUAAGUGCAUGAUAUGCCUCUGAAGCAACUACACAAGAACCUUCGAAGGAACAACGACUGUCUCCAUCGAGGAGAUUCAUGGAUGAGAUGUUCCCAGUGGCUCAUAGCAAUGUGCUGGAACUUCUCAGGAAACCUGGACUUCCACAAAAACCCCCUUGUCCAUGGAUGAUUUUCUAAGACAGUUUUCCAGGAGUUCCUGGACAACAGCUGAAGGGCAAGAACUGUUCAUAAAUCACUGCAGAGUCCACAACUAGGAUAUCCACAAUGUUUGUCUGCCUGUGGGCCAAUGCACAGCUGGGCACAGCUCCUGCCCAUGUUCCUUGGCACAGGUGCUGGAUUCCAUGGCUCCCACAAAGGGACCGUGACGGUGGAUGGAUGCUGAAUUCUUGCUGUUGAAAUGAGGACCAAAAAGAAGAAAUGUCUUCUCCUGCCAUGAUGCCGAUGUCACUCUGAGUCCAGGAUUUUCAUUGGGGGCUGGUCACAUUGGCACUUUUUCCCUACCCAACAAGCCAUGAUUUCCAAAGUUCCAGACUCCCAGAAGAAAAGCAGGUAUUUACUAUGAAUCACAUUGUUUGCACAAACAAUUUUGAUAAGCUGGUACAGCAGGGUUUAGUGCCCAAGGCAUGCAAAACAGUCUUAUGAUUUAGUAACAGGAAAAAUUCCAAAGUCAAGUUUCCAUAUGCCACCCUUACAAGCAAGUUCUUCAAAGGGCAACAUCAGAGCUGCUAUAUUAACUCCUUCCUACACGGGCACACUGGCACUGUUACUACACCCAGCAGAGGUAUUUCCUUUCCUUAGCUACAGUUGAAUCUGGUUGGGAUUUUAUUUCCACAACUUCCAGAAAUAGCCUCAUUACUCUGCCGAGAAACCAGGCACCAGCCCACUAUCUCCAUCUCUUCAGAUGUCUGAGUUUCACUUCUACAAAUCUCUUCCUUAGAGCUUUUAAAUUUUAGUAAUUCCAACCCCGUCUUUGUUCAUCUUGACCUAGGAGUGGUCACUGCUUCCUGAAGUUACUAUUUCUAUAUUUUAUGAUUUUAGUGGGUUUUUUUUCCCUUUCACGUGACACUGUUAACAACCUUAGACUUAGCUUUAAAAUACUGAUGUUCAGUUGUAUCUCUUCAGGUAACUACUGUGCCUUUUGCUAGACCCUGACUGAUACAAAAGCAGAGACCGUCUUCCUUUGGCAGAGAUGGUAGACAAGCAAGAGCCAACAGGAUUUAUUGGUUCCUUACUCACGAUUCUCCCUUUUUGGUACCAGAUUUGUGGUACCAAAUCUGUGGUAAAGCAGCUGUGGUAAUGGCAACAGUGACAGCACCAGCUGCAAAUUUAUUGACCUCUGAUGACACCUAUGGUAGGUGAACUCGAAACAAAAUUUUAGCAUCGGCCUCCCCAAAUCUCCCUUCUCCAGUUCUUCCAAUGACACUUCAAGUGUUUUUGAAGUUUCUUCCUCCUUAUAUCACCUAGAGUAAUUUUUGAUUCCUGUGCUAAAUUUUGAUAGCUCUAUAGGUCUACAAGCU